UUUGAUCCUGGCUCAGGAUGAACGCUAGCUACAGGCUUAACACAUGCAAGUCGAGGGGAAACGAUAUUGGAAGCUUGCUUCCGAUAGGCGUCGACCGGCGCACGGGUGAGUAACGCGUAUCCAACCUGCCCACCACUUGGGGAUAACCUUGCGAAAGUAAGACUAAUACCCAAUGAUAUCUCUAGAAGACAUCUGAAAGGGAUUAAAGAUUUAUCGGUGAUGGAUGGGGAUGCGUCUGAUUAGCUUGUUGGCGGGGUAACGGCCCACCAAGGCGACGAUCAGUAGGGGUUCUGAGAGGAAGGUCCCCCACAUUGGAACUGAGACACGGUCCAAACUCCUACGGGAGGCAGCAGUGAGGAAUAUUGGUCAAUGGGCGAGAGCCUGAACCAGCCAAGUAGCGUGCAGGAUGACGGCCCUAUGGGUUGUAAACUGCUUUUAUAAGGGAAUAAAGUGAGUCUCGUGAGACUUUUUGCAUGUACCUUAUGAAUAAGGACCGGCUAAUUCCGUGCCAGCAGCCGCGGUAAUACGGAAGGUCCGGGCGUUAUCCGGAUUUAUUGGGUUUAAAGGGAGCGUAGGCCGGAGAUUAAGCGUGUUGUGAAAUGUAGACGCUCAACGUCUGCACUGCAGCGCGAACUGGUUUCCUUGAGUACGCACAAAGUGGGCGGAAUUCGUGGUGUAGCGGUGAAAUGCUUAGAUAUCACGAAGAACUCCGAUUGCGAAGGCAGCUCACUGGAGCGCAACUGACGCUGAAGCUCGAAAGUGCGGGUAUCGAACAGGAUUAGAUACCCUGGUAGUCCGCACGGUAAACGAUGGAUGCCCGCUGUUGGUCUGAAUAGGUCAGCGGCCAAGCGAAAGCAUUAAGCAUCCCACCUGGGGAGUACGCCGGCAACG
rnacentral:rRNA from 1 species